UACAGAGACUGCAAGCGUUAUUCGGAUUCACUGGGCGUAAAGGGUGCGCAGGCGGUUGGGUGUGUCAGAUGUGAAAUCCCGAGGCUCAACCUCGGAACUGCGUCUGAAACUACUCGACUAGAGUACUGGAGAGGGUAGCGGAAUUCACGGUGUAGCAGUGAAAUGCGUAGAUAUCGUGAGGAACACCAGAGGCGAAGGCGGUUACCUGGACAGUUACUGACGCUCAGGCACGAAAGCAUGGGGAGCAAAAGGG
rnacentral:rRNA from 1 species